CAGAGAUAUCAGAUAUGGUACCAGAUUAUUAAGACCCAAGACAGACUGGGGCAGAUGCAAAUUUCUUGGAAGCAAGAGAGAGAUUGAUUGUACAAAUAGUUAAUGUAUUUGAUUUUAUAAAGUAAAAAUCUAAGAUUGUACAACUGGGUGAAAGUUAGGCUGUGAAAUCCAGUAAAGGGGUAUGACUAAGUCCACUGAUGACCAUCUCAGGAUCAGAGGAAAUAGUUUGAGUAUAAACUAAGUCUGCUGGAACAAGGUGCUUGAGAUCAUAAAAUGGUAAUUAACAUUUACGCACAAGGAUGAAUUUGGGGUGUCGCAUAAAAGAGUACUUAAGACAGAUAUUUAAUUAAUUCUUUUUGGCCUUUCCUCUGUUUAAAGAGAAGCAUUUAAGCUUUAUAUUUAUUUUCAGAAACUAUUUUAGGUCCUACAAGUUUCCAUUUAUUAUAUUUCUAUAUUCAUUGAUGUCUAAAUCUUUGUAUGUUUUCAUUAUGGUUAAUUUCUUGACAGCAUUAUUUGGAAAAUGUCCUAAAACAUCCAAAAACAUGCCCUCUCUUUCUAAGGCUUGUGGUUGUUAUCGUUGUUGCUAUUUACUGUCAGCUAUGGUGAUUUUCCCUUCACUUCUUCUCUUGUCAAAGAUCGUGGUACGUAUGGUACAGGACUCCCCAUAUGUCCUGGUAGGUUGUCGAUUUUCAUAAAUGUUCUGCAUGUGCUGAAGAGGGGUGCUAAUUUUAUAAGCAUAUUUUCUGCUAUAUAUGUCUGUCAUACCAAUUUCCUUAGUUAUCUUUUCAAGUAUAUAAUUACUAAUUUUUUGUUUGCUUCAAACAUUGAUUACUGAAAGAAGUGCUAAAUUCUGCUACAUUUCCUUAGUUUUGCCUUAUAUGAGCCUAUGCUAUUACUUCAGAUGAGUUUAGAAUUGUUUUAGCUUCUGGUUUCACAUUAAGUUUUGAGAUUAAUCAUCUCACUGGUGCCACAUUACAACUAUAUGAGCUGUCUUUUGUUUUGUGUUUACUGGUAUAACAUUUUUCACUCUUUUACUUUAAAACUUGCAAUAUUUUUAAGAGUAGCUGUUGUAAGUAGCAGAGUGCAGGAUUUCCUAAUUUUAAUUCCAACAACCUGAUUAUAUUUGUUAUUAAUACUUGAGUCAAUUUACUUUUAUUGAGAUAUCUGAUAUAUGUUUAAUUAUUCUUACAAUAUUCUGCAUACAUAAUUUUUUCUCAUUUUGUUUUACCUCCUGCCUUCCUGGGAUUAUUUUUAUUAUUUCCAGUGCUGUUGUCGCUAUUGUUGUUAUUAUGAUUACUCUUUCUUAAAACAAUUUUGUUUUGCAAGUUCUACUAUUAUAAUUUAAGCAAAAUUAAUUUAAAGUUAAGUUUAUUCUCUUCCUGAAUAAUACAAGCUUUAAGGAACACUUGAAUUCUAAUCACACUUCCAUUCCAUGUAAAUGGUAAUCUUGUGCAGGAUUUUAAUCUGUUUUUUCCUUAUAAAAUUAAGCAUUGUUGUUAUUUAAUAUAGUAAAUGUUUUUUCAGAUUACUCAAAUAUAUACCAGUAUCUUGCCUUGCCAUUCUGUCUCAUUUUGCAGAUCUUCCUUUUGGGAUAGUUUUCUUUUCUUCCAAAUUAUAUCUUCUAGAAUUCCUCUUAUUAAGGUUCCGUUGUUAGUUAAGAUUCUUGUUUGUUGUGCAUCCUAUAUGUAAAUAUUCAUUUAAAAAAUUUCCAAGAAACCCUCUCUUUAAGACAUUCUACCUCUCUCCUAUUGUCUUUAUUCUUUCUUCCUAGAUAUCUUAUUAGAUACAUGUUAAUAUGCCCUUUCAUUCUGUCCUCCAUAGCUUUUAAAGUUUGCUGUGUUUCUUAUACAUUCUGUAUAAUUUCUAUUAAUUUAUCUUCCACUUUAUAAAUUCUCUGUUUUUAUUAAUCAAAUGUUCUGUUUAACUUUUCUAAUUAUAUAAUUCUGUAUUAAAUUGUUUAAGAUUAAUUUUAAUUACUUUUGAUGUUUAUAUUUUUACUCAUGGAAUUAUGUUUGGGUUCAUCAACACUAGAAUUAAUAGGUUGAUUGUGGUAGAUACAUGCAAUGAAUUAGUUAACAACAAUACAAGUGAGUGUAUUAUACUUAUAACUGUGAACAUAUAUUUUAGAAACAGUAAUUUUGAGCAACAUAAUGUGUUCAAAGAAUGUAUGUAGAGUUCAGAAGUAAGCAAAAUUAAAUAUUGUCUUAUUUAAGAAAAUUCAGUAAAUUUAAGGGAAUUAUUCUAUAAGUCAAGGUAGUGAUUACUAUGGUGUAGAGGCAAGGAUCUUGAUUGGCAAGGAUCAUACAAGGAUCCUCAGAGGUUCUAGAAAUGUUUUCUUUCUUAAAAAAUUGGUUGGUGGGUAGUUAGAUAUGAACAUACAUAUUUUAUAUACUCUUACACACAGAUUCAGUUUCAUUCUUUUUACAAUCUUUCUGCUUUUGCUUGAUAAUUUUUUGCUUAAUCUUCCUCAUGUUGACAUGAAUCUCUCUGUGUGAGUUCAUGUCCAGCUGGAUUUUACUCUUUGGGUCUUGUGAAAUUUGAGUGGUUAUGAAUCCUUCCAGAGAGUGUCUUAGGACCUGCUAACAAAGGAUAAACUUAAUUUUGUAAAAUAAUUUUUUAAAUUCAACUUGCAAGAAAUAUAAACUCAAAUUCCAUCAGUGUAAAGGUAGGCCCAUGUUAUUCAUUUUUGAAGAAGUUUUUUUUUUUUUUUUCUAUUUUAUUUCAUUUUUCUGCCAUAGUCCUCUCUAAAUCAGAAAAGUUUCUGGUCAUAUCUCCUUUCUAGAAGGUGAGAUUUUCCUAGUCCAUCUUUGCACUGACCCAACUUAAUUCAAAUGAUUAGUUUCAUCUCUCUGUGUUUGGACUCUGAAGUGUUGUCUCUAUUUUUUGGCUUUGCUUUUAACAAGAAAGAUCCUAGAUUAUUUGGAAAAAUAAGUAGCCUAGCACUAUGGCAGCCUUAAUGCAGCCUCCCAUUUUGGCACCUUAAAGCCUUUCACUUAAUCAAUGAAAAUUUUGAGACUACAUACUUUCUUCCAUUUAAAAAGCAUGUUUAUUUUUAUUUUAACCAGAAUUUUCAGAUAUUUUGUAGCAAGAAAUUUUUUAGUAUCUAGUGUCAAAUAAAAUAAUAAGCAGAAGAAAAAAUGAUGUUAAAGAUGACAUUUUAGUUCCCUUUGAAAGACAAGUCAUGUGUUAGGACACAAGUGCAGGAUAUACUCUGAAGUCUGAAUAUGUGUUAAACCCAUGGCAAAAGUUGCAAUUCUAAAGUCACUGAAGUCCAGAUAUAUUUUAAAGAGUCACCACCCCAUCAGACCAUAUUGCUGAAUAGAGCUUUCCACUUAAUGUAUAAAUGUCUUACCAUAAAAUUCAUUUUUUAUGUUUGAUAAUAACAGUUCUUUCUUUAUCUACAAGAGGCUAUUAGAAGACUUUCAUAGGUUACCUUUUAGGAGUUCAAUUUUUUUUUUUCCAGGGAAAAAUAUGUUACAUAGGUCCAUGAUCUUUGAGUCCACUAUGUGAUAUAUUAUAUAUCAUAUAUUUUUGUAUAUAUUUGUGAAUUGAUGACUUUGAGCCAGUACAUUUUAUGGAAAAUAAAAUUAGUCAAAUCCACAAGUCCUUGCUUUAACACUUAUUAAUAAAAGUAACCAAUUACUGUCAAAGAAGCAGUGUGUUGCCCCUCCUUGGUUGAAGACAUAAUUACCUGGAGAAGAUAGGAUCCAUGCUGGGAGAAAGCUAAAGAUGUAUGCAUCUCUUACACUUUGAUGACUUAAUUAGUUUGUUAGUUUGGCCACAAAAAAUAGUUGCCCAGGGGUGAGAGGUAAGUGGAGGAUUUCUAUUGGGCCAGGGAUUGACAGGAACAGAGAACACACAAUAAUGUUGAUCACAGGUGGUGGCAAUCCAAGCAUCUGGCAAGUCACAGUGGUACAGCUGUGUCUUCAAUGCCUGGUUACACAUCUGAUUUGCCCAGCACACUUGUUAAAUACACAGACACUACUUUGGGACUUCAGAAGAGCAGCUCUUGGACAAGGCAGAAGAAUGUUUCUUUGUUAACUCUCACGGUGAUUUGGCCAUUUAAGGUAGAUAGGAAAUCACCUCUGUGCCUGUGGGACCUUAUCAAGUGCCAAAGGUCCCAGACCUUGCUUCUCCCCACAGUAAGUUCACAGCACUGUGUUUUGGAACCUUGAGAAGACUAACAGGACCUGGGAAUCAUGAACUCUUCACUCACUAAGAGCCCUGGGGGCUACAAUAAAUGCCCUCUCCUAGGUUUUGCCAUAGUCUGCAAGGUCUUACAUCAUGCAUUGCAAUCAGUCUUGUUUAUGGCUAUGUGUGUACCUCUUUUUUUCCCCUCUCCAUUGGCUGACUUGUAGACAGCAGAAUCCAGGUCUUAUUAAAAAGUUAAUUCCCCACAACAACUCAAAAACUGUUUUGUGAACUGAAUUGAAUUUUAAUUAAGUGUUGCCAUUUCCCCAUUAUCCUCACCUCAUAUCCUGAUUGAGAAUAUGUCUUGUCAAGUGCAAAAUAUGUAGUUGCAACCUUCUUUUUUGGAAAUUAUAUUACUCAUUAUUUUCUGCUGCUUCUGCAAGCUUUGUGGAGUGGCACUGUAUUUUCUUAGUCUAUGUUGACAGAAUACAAUAUAAUGGUUCAUUUAGGAUGGGUUUUUAUGGGGCCUGUCAAGACUUAGCUGUGUUUUGCAUAGUAAACCUAAUAUUAAAUGACAAAAUGCAUUGUAGAAGAUACUUCACAACCAUUAAGGUUGAAGUAGUGAAUGUGUAGAAGAUUACUAUGCAUUACAAAUGGUGGAGCAGCUAAGACAAUAAAUAAAGUAUAAUUGAAAUCCAGGGGGCUUUGGAUAUUAGUGGUAUAACAAUUCUCUGAUCUACAGUGUGUGCUGUAGGAAGAUUGGCUGCAACUCUGGUGUGUUGGUCUCUUUGCACAGCAGGUGAUGUGCUGAACUUAAUAACCCGCUGUUCAAUUUUUUAUUUAAAAAGUAAGAUGGGAGCUAAGGCACAAUUGCUUUGGGCAAGUGUCUUAUAAAAAUGUUUGUGUUUAGAAGUGGGCUAAUUUGAUUAGAGAACCAUGAAAUCUGCUCAACAGUGUAAUGGAACAUCAGCUAAAUCUAAACUGGCAAAACCCCAGGACUUUGAAAAUUAAUGAAUAUUCAAUAUUGACAUGCUCUGAAAAUAGAUGUCUUAAAUAUGAGGAAAAAAAGGAAGGCAGGACGAACAUAGAGAGAUUCUAUAGCACUUAAGAAAUUUUAAUUGUUGUCAAAUAAUACUAUGGCAAAAAGAUCACUAAAUAAGUCAUCAUAAAAGUUUAUAGCCCUGUGAGUGAGAUUAGGGAUCAUGUUUUAUUCAUUGAUUUUUGUUUCUUGACCCUCAAAAUCCAUACCUCAUGCUUCUCACUGAGCACCAUUUCAAACAUUUGUUAAAUUUUUGCCAGUGAAUGACCGGCUCUGUGAACAUGUACUUCAUGUUUAUUGAAUGUGAAGCAGGGAAGUAAGUUUAUGACAAAAAAAAAAUACAGCUGCUUUUUAAAAAGUGAAAUUAAUAGGGAAGACAUUAUCUAUGUCUAUAAAACCAGUUGCUAAAAACAUGAGAAUAAGUAGAUAGCUAGAGUAUACUUGCCUUGCUAGAGUUCAUCAAAUACUGAUCUAGGACAUCAAAAUAUUUUAAAUACAUAGAAAUUUUUUCUGUUCAUCUUAUUACAGGGAAAAAAAA
rnacentral:lncRNA from 1 species